GAUGAACGCUGGCGGCGUGCCUAAUACAUGCAAGUCGAGCGAACUGAUUAGAAGCUUGCUUCUAUGACGUUAGCGGCGGACGGGUGAGUAACACGUGGGCAACCUGCCUGUAAGACUGGGAUAACUUCGGGAAGCCGAAGCUAAUACCGGAUAGGAUCUUCUCCUUCAUGGGAGAUGAUUGAAAGAUGGUUUCGGCUAUCACUUACAGUUGGGCCCGCGGUGCAUUAGCUAGUUGGUGAGGUAACGGCUCACCAAGGCAACGAUGCAUAGCCGACCUGAGAGGGUGAUCGGCCACACUGGGACUGAGACACGGCCCAGACUCCUACGGGAGGCAGCAGUAGGGAAUCUUCCGCAAUGGACGAAAGUCUGACGGAGCAACGCCGCGUGAGUGAUGAAGGUUUUCGGAUUGUAAAGCACUGUUGUAAGGGAAGAAUAAGUUAGAGAGGAAAUGAUCUAACGAUGACGGUACCUUACCAGAAAGCCACGGCUAACUACGUGCCAGCAGCCGCGGUAA
rnacentral:rRNA from 1 species